rnacentral:rRNA from 1 species
GCCAGACUCCUACGGGAGGCAGCAGUGAGGAAUAUUGGUCAAUGGGCUUACGCCUGAACCAGCCAAGUCGCGUGAGGGACGACGGUCCUAUGGAUUGUAAACCUCUUUUGUCGGGGAACAAAGGCGCCCACGGGUGGGCGGAUGAGUGUACCCGAAGAAAAAGCAUCGGCUAACUCCGUGCCAGCAGCCGCGGUAAUACGGAGGAUGCGAGCGUUAUCCGGAUUUAUUGGGUUUAAAGGGUGCGUAGGCGGAGUGUCAAGUCAGCGGUAAAAUUUCGGGGCUCAACCCCGUCGUGCCGUUGAAACUGACACCCUUGAGUGAGUGAGAAGUAAGCGGAAUGCGUGGUGUAGCGGUGAAAUGCAUAGAUAUCACGCAGAACGCCGAUUGCGAAGGCAGCUUACCGGCGCUCAACUGACGCUGAGGCACGAAAGUGCGGGUAUCGAACAGGAUUAGAUACCCCCGUA